AUAUACAACCCCCAUCCUCCUUUUAAAGGAGUAUAAAUAAAUACUGAUCAUCAGAAGCAAAAAUCCCCUUCCCACCCUCGCACCUCCACACCAGCGGAAAAAAGUAAUAAUCCCCACCGCCCAACCCCAACCCCCACCCUCCCCGGCGCGUGCGAUGCUUCGGCGCCGCCGGCGGCCACGGGUGGUGCAGUGAUGGUGGGCUUCUUCCGCAGCGGCAACCUUGCCUCCAGGGUGUUCGACCGCCAGUUCCUCUCUCCGCGCCCCGGCGCAACCGUUAAUACUGUCAGACAAUUCUAUGAGAAUUUGGUUCCAAGUUACACUAUAUACGACAUAGAUUGCCCAGAUUAUUCGUUUCGCAAGUUCACUGAUGAUGGCAAGUAUCUUGUGGCCUUUAGUCGAAACCACCAAGAUUUGAUUGUGUACCGUCCCAUCUGGCUAACGUUUUCAUGCCAUGAAGAAUGUGAUUCUCAUGACCUUCCGGCCAAUGCAGAGAGAUUUGACAGUUUCUUUAAGCAGCUCUACUCAAUCUCACUUGCAUCCAGCAAUGAGUACAUUUGUAAGGACUUUUUCCUUUACAUGGAGUGCCAUCAAUAUGGCUUAUUUGCAACGUCAACUGCACAAAGUAAUGACUCAAGUGCCACUGACGGUGCAAUUCACGGGGUACCAUCAAUUGAGAAAAUAACUUUCUAUCUUGUGAGGCUAGAAGAUGGUGCAAUACUAGACGAGAAAGCUUUCUGCAAUGAUUUUAUCAAUUUGGCUCAUAGUAUUGGUGCUUACUUGUAUGAGGAUCUGGUUUGCAUUGUCUCUCUACGAUAUCAAACAAUACAUGUCCUACAAAUCCGAGAUUCAGGCAGCCUUGUUGAGGUACGGAGAAUUGGUGCAUUUUGCCGGGAAGAUGACGAACUAUUUCUUUAUUCACAUGGCCAGGCUGCACAGGGGAAUUCUUUUCUUCCUGGCAUCAAGCAACGGUUGCUAUCAUAUAUUUUCCGGAAGACUUGGAAUGAGGAACCUGAUCAGGCUUUGAGGGUCCAGCAUCUGAAGAAGAAAUUUUAUUUUCACUUUCAAGACUAUGUGGAUCUUAUCAUAUGGAAGGUACAGUUUUUGGAUCGCCGUCACCUAUUUAUCAAGUUUGGUAGUGUCGAUGGAGGGGUUACUCGAAGCACUGAUCAAAACCUAGCAUUCUUUGCUGUGUACAACAUGGAGACGACAGAUAUUGUCUCACUCUAUCAGAAUUCUUCGGAGGAGCUGUAUUCAUUGUUUGAACAUUAUUAUGAUCAUUUCCAUGCAAAUCCUCAAAAUUCUUCGCAUGAGAAAUUUAUCUCGUCGCAUUCCAAUAGUGUUCAUGCUCUUGAUCAACUUUGCACCAUUAAAAAUAAAGCAAGCAGCUCCUCACAGCAGUUUGUGAAAAAGAUGAUGGCGUCAUUGCCUUACACUUGCCAAUCACAAAGUCCUUCACCAUACUUUGACCUGUCGAUUUUUCGUUAUGAUGAGAAGGACAUUGUAUAUCCUGCUAUUUGUAAAAAAAAAUGAGAACAGAGGGGAGACUCCCCCAUGUCUUAUUCAUAUGGGAGAUGACAAGACUCGAACCCGGGCCGGCGACAGCAACCUUUGUGCUGUCUAUCACUCCACUCAGAAGAGCUUCUCAUAUCCUGCUAUUUGUGACAUCUGAUUUCAGCGAUUGAUCGGCAUAGGCAUUGCACAGAGCAUCCGAUAAAAUUUAUAUCAGUGAGGCAACCAAAUGUCGUCAAAUUUAAGAUAAAACCAGGGUCAGAUUCUGGUGGUUCCGACAGCCGAGCAAAAAGAAUCUCUUCCUUCUUGUUUCACCCAUUUUUCCCGCUUGCACUGUCGAUUCAGCAGACAUAUAUGCAGCCAACUGUUGUCAAUGUACAUUUCAGGAGAUAGAAAAACUGUAGUCGCUUCCUCAAUUGUGUUUGGCCCAAUAGAAAUUUUGGUCAUCUGUGGUAGAUGUUUUAUCGGUUGAUCUUACUAUAGGAGAAAAAGAAGUGGUUUUUUGCUUCU